rnacentral:rRNA from 1 species
UAGGGAAUCUUCCGCAAUGGACGAAAGUCUGACGGAGCAACGCCGCGUGAGUGAAGAAGGUUUUCGGAUCGUAAAACUCUGUUGUCAGAGAAGAACAAGUUGGAGAGUAACUGCUCCAGCCUUGACGGUAUCUGACCAGAAAGCCACGGCUAACUACGUGC